rnacentral:tRNA from 1 species
CAAAGAGUAGUUAAACUUAGAAUACUAGCUUUGGGAGCUAGUGGUGAGGGUUAGAGUCCCUUCUCUUUG